GCUAGACACAGAGGGACGGAGACCGAGGCUCGGAGAAGUAGUUCAGGAAGAGAGAAAAGAAGGGAUUCAGAGACUUAAAAGGAGAAAAAGAACAGGAGGCGGCCAUUCCCAGAGACCCAUAAAGAGACGGACCCAAGGACGUGGAGGACAGAGCCCUCUUCCCAGCCUGGCGGGAGUCUCCCCACUUUGAAUUGGGCCAAAGGGGUCCAACUUACUAGGCCUCUGGGGAAGGGUGUCCGUGAGCUACUGGAGAACCUCCCCAAGGGCUCAGCUGGGAAACACCUGUCCUUCAACAGGAAGAUUUACUCCAAACUUCAAGUCUGGCUUGUUAGAGAGUAGAAGACUGACUACUCCCCAGGUAUGGAGCCCAGGCCCGUGAGGCAGGAAGAUGAGAAAACUGAGGCGCUGAAAGUCGGGAAGGGACAGGGAUUGGACUCAAAUGCUGUUUCUCUGACUCCAGUCAUUAGAAGCGAUUUCUCAACACCAAACUUGCUCUUCUCCCACUCCGACGCCCUCUGCACCUCCGCUGACGCCCUAAGCACGGAAUACUCCCCGACGUGUGGCUGGAAAUAACUCCUCUGUCCGAGGUGCCUUCGAGUCCCUGAGGCACAAUGGACUCUGCCUUGGAUUUCAGCAAGCCAUUGUCGGGAUCUUCGGAGUUCGUGUAUCUCUGCUUUACCAUGUUUCUUAUUGUAUUGAAAUUUGUGUGAAGUGUUUGUCAUCCCUACUUGUCUGGGAGUCACUGAAACUCAAUGUUGUUAGCCCUGCUCAGUUUCCCAGAACUGGCUGAUGAGCUUCCAGGACUUGUAGAAGCUCUUCUCCUUGCCUCCCUAAUUUCUCUCCUCUUGAGGCCUCUUUAAGGUUCUCUUGAGAUGAUAGGGCUAAGGCAGUAGAGACAAGUUCUGGAAGAAUAGAACAUCAGUGCAGCAGAAAAGUAUAGGCAGGAUGUCAAGGUCAAGAGAGCCAGUCCCCUGCCUCAGGCCUUAGUGCAGGCUGGUCAUUAAUGCAGCCCUGCGUUCUUCUUGGCCUUCGAAUAAAAAGACAUUUCAUGCCCAAGGACCUCAGUAAUGAGGAACCAGGGAGGGGCUGGGGAGCCUGCAGGUUCAGCAAAACCUUCCCCACCUCAGAAGCCUCCCCUCCUUCCUUCCUCCUCCUCUCUCUCUCUGAAGUCAGCGAAACCUUUCAGCAGCUUCUGGAAGAAGGAGGUUCCUCUGCCUUUGGAGAAGGGAGAGGGAUGAAGGGCUCUGGCAAGGCCUCUUUAGAGGCCCCCUGGAGCCUCGCAUCUCUGCCCCCACCUUUCUACCAAGGACAAACCAUCUUUACCUUGGAGAAGCCCAUCGGUCUGUGGGGAAAGGCUGAGCCCAGGCCCUGGAGGAUGGGGGCGGUGCUUUCCCAUAUUCUCCAGUCCCUCACCCCUUAGAACCUGGGCUGCUCCUGAUCAGGCUAGCACAUCCCUAUCCUAACUCUAACCUGCUGCCCCUGCCCUGGGCUACAGUGACUUUGCCGAGUGUCGCAAACCUGUCUGAAACUGUCUGGGGCAUUUUGGACUUACCAACACAUCCCUUUGCUUUUUUACGAAGCAUUAGACUUGACUCUUUUUUCUAUUUUCCCUUUCUCUCUACCUUACCUGUCCUGUCCAGUCUCCCUGCGGAGUCUUUUCUUAACGCUCGUGCUAUGGGAAACUUCCUCCCCCGCCCUUUACCCAGCUUGAACGUUGGGUGCACAGAAACACACAUGCAAACUGAGAGGUGCAUGCAGACCCUGCCUCCCAAAAACACACGAACAAACUCGUGAGCAUAGCACAUUCACCCAUCACGAAUCCUGGGCUGGCCUCUGUGCUGUGCCCCACUGACAAGCAUGCACGCAGAGAAGAGUGCAACCACACAGGUUAGCACGCUCCCACAAACACAAAUACACAACCAAUCAACAUGCCAAGCUCAGCUGCUGAAGUUGGUCCUGCCAUCGAAUCUUCUGGAGUUUGCCAGGGACCAGGGAAGUGCCUUCUUUGUCCUCGGUGGGAACUCAGGAUAUGUAGGAUAAUGUAUGCUCGAGGAUAUCUGGGGCUUGUAUAAUUGUAUGGCAGGAUUGGGAAGAGCCACUCCCCACAAGGCAUGGAGCUCCAGUGGAGUUGUUCCAGAGGACCUGGGGAAGUAGGAGGGGCACACAUCUGAGCAGAGGGAUGUGGUCCGGUCAUUGGAAGCCAAACCCGCCCAUCAUCUGCGCUCUAAAUCAGGUGAAGCUCCUAAGGCAGGAAGGAGGGACCUAGAGGGCGGGCUCCGAAGGGGGCAUGGAGUGGAAACAGGAAGGGAAGGAGCUCUUUGGGCCUCUCUUGGGAAGUGGCCCUCAGUUCCCACAAGGUAGACAUAACACUUUCCUUGGGGGUGGCUGCUUGGGCCCUGAUGAAGCCAGGCCUGACCGUGGCCAGGAACAGCAGUGGAGCUAUAAAGGGUUUGUUUCCACCUCAGUGUCCUUGAAGCAAACCACUCAUGGCAAAGAGAAACGGACUAGAGUAAAGGUGGGGCUUCAGGAGGCCAGAGAGGAGGGAAGUAUAAUGGAAAGACCAAAGGCAUUGAUGUUUGAACAGGAUUCAAGUUUUCCCUGUGCCUCUCCACUGGCUGUGUGGUUUUGGGCAACACACUCAACCUCUCCGAUCCUCAGUUUACUCCUCUAUAAAAUCAAGAUACACUACCUACUUCAUAUGGUUGUGGUGAAGAAUAAAAGAGACGAAAAGACUGGCUGGCACACGGCAGGAUCCAAGAGAUGGGGGCUGUGUAUGAGAAGGCCUUCCUUUCAUGAAGGAGAUUUGGGCUGCUGGGGCCAAGGCAGGACCCAGAAAAAGAAAGGCAGCUAGAAGCUGAAGUUCCUGUUCCUGGUCAAGCGAGCAGAGCACAGUGGUUCAUAAUCUAAUGCCAGACUCCCUGAGUUCAAGUCCUUGCAGCUAUAUGACCUACAGCAAGUUUCUUUUCUUUUCUAAGAUUUAUUUUUUAUUUGAGAGAGAGUGCAUGAGUGGGAGGGACAGAGGCGGAGGGAGAGAGAAACUCCAGCAGACCCCACCCUGAGUGCAGA